rnacentral:sRNA from 1 species
GCUGGGUCUGGUGACUCACGCCUGUAAUCCCAGCAGUCUGGGAGGCUGAGACAGGAGGAUCUAGAGUUCAAAGCCAGCCUCAGCAAAAGCGAGGUGCUACGCAAUUCAGUGAGACCCUGUCUCUA